rnacentral:ncRNA from 1 species
GUUAGGAGUAUUGUCUAAAACUGGAACAGCUUUAGGUUUUAUAAUUUUUUAUGUUUGAGUUUAGGACAUUAGCUCAAUUGGGGGAGCGGUCCCUACUCCUUCGGGAGGCAGCAGUGGGGAAUAUUCGUAAUGGGGGAAACCCUGAACGAGCGAUACUACGUGAAGGAUGAAGGUCUGCGGAUUGUAAACUUCUGUUAGCGUGGAAGAAGGGCUUUGGCCUUGACGGUACACGCAGAAUUAAAAAAGUGUUUGGAGAUAAAUUUGAGAUAACGUUUAUUUUUUUGAC